rnacentral:rRNA from 1 species
AAGGUUACACUGUCUCCUUUCUCUAAUCAGUAAAACUAAUCUUCCCGUGAAGAAGCGGGGAUCCUUAUAUAAGACGAGAAGACCCUAUGGAGCUUUAAACGAAAUAACAUCUACCAACUCACCUAACAAUUUCAGAAAAUUAAUACUAAACUUGGUAUAAUGAUUACUAGUUUUAGGUUGGGGUGACCGCGGAGCAAAAAACAACCUCCGCAUUGAAUGGACUUACACUCCUAAACAAAAAGCCACAACUUUAUGUAUCAACACAUUGACAUCCAUUGACCCAUUAAUUUGAUCAACGAACCAAGUUACCCUAGGGAUAACAGCGCAAUCCAUUUCAAGAGCUCCUAUCGACAAAUGG